ACUCAAAUGAAUUGACGGGGGCUCACACAAGCGGUGGAGUAUGUUGCUUAAUUCGAUGCAACGCGAAGAACCUUAUCCUGGGCUUGACAUGUACGAGCCUCUACCUGGAAACAGAUUAGAGUUGCCCUUCGGGGUGUAAGCGUACACAGGUGCUGCAUGGCUGUCGUCAGCUCGUGUCGUGAGAUGUCGGGUUAAGUCCCAUAACGAGCGAAACCCUUGUCGCUAGUUGCCAGCGGGUCAUGCCGGGGACUCUAGCGAGACUGCCGGUGUUAAACCGGAGGAAGGUGGGGAUGACGUCAAGUCCUCAUGGCCUUUAUGCCCAGGGCUGCAAACGUACUACAAUGGCGUGGAACAAACCGAAGCUAAACCGCAAGGUCAUGCAAACCGGAGAAAACACGCCCCAGUUCAGAUUGGGGUCUGCAACCCGACCCCAUGAAGUUGGAAUCGCUAGUAAUCGCGGAUCAGCUAUGCCGCGGUGAAUGUGUUCCUGAGCCUUGCACACACCGCCCGU
rnacentral:rRNA from 1 species